rnacentral:lncRNA from 1 species
GCGCUGUUUCCGCCUCUUGCCUUCGGACGCCGGAUUUUGACGUGCUCUCGCGAGAUUUGGGUCUCUUCCUAAGCCGGCGCUCGGCAAGGUUGAAACUUUUUCUGGUGUCUAUAAGAAGCUCACGGGCAAGGAUGUUAAUUUUGAAUUCCCAGAGUUUCAAUUGUAAACAAAAAUGACUAAAUAAAAAGUAUAUAUUCACAGU